rnacentral:tRNA from 1 species
GGUGGCUCAGUGGUAGAGUACUUGCCUAGCAUGCAUGAAGCCCUGGGUUCGAUUCCUCAGUACCA